AUUAAACACCAGAGAAUCUACAGCAGCCAGCAGCAUUAUAAACACUUCAAGAUUCAAAAUACUGGAAGAACUUUACACAGACAUACAACUUCCUGAGCUCCAGAAAUUCACAUGGGGGGAAUUUGUGACCUGAGAGAAAACAGCUUUCAAACUCUGAAGACACCAGGCACCAGCCAGGAGAUACAUCUGAGGCUGCAUGAGGGCCUUAACCGGAAUGUACGGGAUGAGGACGUGUCUAUCGACAGCCACUCAUAAGAGGGGAAGGCAGAUGGCUUUCUCACCUUCAGCAGAAACCUCCAGUAAAGCACAAGCUCUGACAGCCGCUAGGAGCACCAAGCAAGCCUCUAACAUUAUUUCAUGUCAUGCUGAGGUGAAAGCUCGGCUGAUCUGGAUGGGCAUUGCUUCUCUGAAGACUUUCCCCUUGUCACCUACCACCAAAUAACCUAGUGGCUUUAAAGAUUUAUUGAAGUCUAGAAGACACAAGCUCAGGGGAAAGCAGUAACUUUGACCUGACUCUUCUGUACCUAAGUUGGGUGGCCCUAACUUGAAGCAGUAACUGGGGCUGAAGGUGGAGUCUGGUUGUGGGCACAAAGAAAGUCAUAUUUUGUGUGAAACCUGGACCCUCCUGACCCUGAAGUGUUGAAGGCCUUCACGAACCUUCUGCUGAACUUCAGUGACUCUAAGCCAGGCGUGCUUAACGUGAGCGGGGCUUUCUCAAUAGAGGAAAUUUGCUCUUUGAUCCUCCCUGAAGAUUAAAGCAGUGUUCCUCAGCCUAUUAAAGAUAUUGUCUGAAGUCAAAAACUACUGUUUGUGAAAACUUUGUGCAGACUUUUCAACAAGCUGUUUUGCAUACUUUAGCAACGUGAUUAAUAGGAUGGAAGUAACGCUUGUGGGAAUACCUAUGCUUUCUGUUUUAAAAAAAAAAAAAAAAACAUAAUGAGAGAUGUGGAAAUAUAAUCAUUCAAAAAGUCUGAAUGAACGACCAAAACUGUAUAAUCUUUAUGCAUAUGAAAUUCUGGUUGAAUAAAUUAUUUUAAACCAGUCUAAAUGUUUUAUUU
rnacentral:lncRNA from 1 species